rnacentral:sRNA from 1 species
AAAUCUUCUUAGACAAUUGCUUCCUGCUUUGCAAGCCACGCUGCAGCUUAAUAAUUCUAAUGUGGACAUAUCUAAAAUAAAUGAAGUUCUUACAGCAGCUGUGACACAAGCCUCACUGCAGUCUAUAAUUCAUAAGUUUCUUACUGCUGGACCAUCUGCUUUCAACAUAACGUCUCUGAUUUCUCAAGCUGCUCAGCUCUCUACACAAGAUAUCCCUCUUCAUGAAGGUAUCCAAAUGGAGAGAGAUACACAUAGGAGCAAAUGGGAAGUGAAAGGGUCACUUUGUCAGAAAGCUGAUAAACAGCAGGAAUGCCUUGUCUGGAAUGGAAGUAUAAUGGUGCAAAGACUCUUGCAACCCUCUGGCUAGCCUCAUGAGCAGGAGACUGCGUGGGAUACCUGGGCCUAAAUGUAGAAUAAGAAAGAAGAAAUAAGGAUGGUGAGGAGGCCUUCCAUGUGAGAUUAGGUUCAGGCCUAGCUUCCUGUUCCAGCCACAUAAAGGAGAGUGGGCCACACUGGGUGUGCUUACCUCUGAACACACAGCUCACU